UACGUAGGGGGCGAGCGUUGUCCGGAGUUACUGGGCGUAAAGGGCACGCAGGCGGUGCGGCGCGUUUCGCGUGACAGCGGAGGGCUUAACUCUCCGAGGAUGCGAAAGACGGCGGCACUUGAGGGCCAGAGAGGGACACGGAAUUCCAGGUGGAGUGGUGAAAUGCGUAGAGAUCCGGAGGAACACCGAAGGCGAAGGCGGGUCUCUGGACAGUUCCUGACGCUGAGGCACGAAGGCCAGGGGAGCAAACGGG
rnacentral:rRNA from 1 species